UACAGAGGUCUCAAGCGUUGUUCGGAUUCAUUGGGCGUAAAGGGUGCGUAGGCGGCGCGGUAAGUCGGGUGUGAAAUCUCGGAGCUUAACUCCGAAACUGCAUUCGAUACUGCCGUGCUUGAGGACUGGAGAGGAGAUUGGAAUUCACGGUGUAGCAGUGAAAUGCGUAGAUAUCGUGAGGAAGACCAGUGGCGAAGGCGGAUCUCUGGAGAGUUCCUGACGCUGAGGCACGAAGGCCAGGGGAGCAAACGGG
rnacentral:rRNA from 1 species